rnacentral:rRNA from 1 species
UACGUAGGGGGCAAGCGUUGUCCGGAUUCAUUGGGCGUAAAGAGCGUGUAGGCGGCCAGGUAGGUCGGUUGUGAAAACUGGAGGCUCAACCUUCAGAGGUCGACCGAAACCAUCUGGCUAGAGUCCGGGAGAGGAGAGUGGAAUUCCUGGUGUAGCGGUGAAAUGCGCAGAUAUCAGGAAGAACACCGAUGGCGAAGGCAGGUCUCUGGGCCAUAACUGACGCUGAGAAGCGAAAGCAUGGGGAGCGAACAGG